rnacentral:misc_RNA from 1 species
UUUACUCUCACCUGCAGCAACAUGGCGGUUGUGUGGGGUGGGACAUUGUCGCGCUUCUGUUAAAGGCAGAUAGAAAGCUAUUAUGAAUAAUGGGAGAAACAAAGGCAGUUAUCAGACAGCCCCAAUCAGACAAACAUUCGCUGGAGUUGUCAGAAUUGCCAUUUGCCUUUGGUUUAGGCGUCGAACAGUUGGAACAGCAGACGACAAAAACUAGACUCCUCCCGAUGCUUAAUAAAAUAACUGUAAAACAACGCUUACAUAAGCUUGAAGUCUGUUUUGGCUGUACUCGUAAUAACCGCUAUUGUGUUUACACUGAGGAAGGAGAUCAGAUUUAUUAUGUUUAUGAAGAUUCAGUAUGCCUUAUGCGCCAGAUGACUGGAGCAUUGAGAGGUUUAAUCCUAAAAAUGACAGAUGAGGAUCAGGAAGAUGUUUUAAUAAUGAAGCGACCAGCACGAUGCAGUAGCCGCUGUUUCUGGUCGUGUUGUAGCCUGCAGAUGGAGCUGCUGUAUUCCACAAUAUCGUGUAGUUAAUAAAGAAGGCAGUCUUUUGUGGAGAGUGAAAGGAGGCACUUGCCAUUAUCGGUGCUGCAGCCAGAUCCAUUUUGAAUUCUUGACGCCAGAUGGAGAGAGAGCAGCUGCUGUUAACAGAGAGUGUCAAGGUUGUGACGAACUAAUUGGCGCUUCAAACACAUUUAGCAUUCACUUUUCAGAUGAUCUGGAUGCAAGGCAAAGACUGAUCAUUUUGGGUAGUACUUUUCUGGUGGACCUAAACUAUUUUGAGAAGCAAAACAGAUGCUGGUAAAGGAGUCUGGUUGCAUGUGAGCAGCAACUUCAGUUUGCCUGCCAGUAUAAGAACAAAGAAUGAAGUAUCUGAGGUAGCUGAGGACUCAAAAUGUUACCAACUGAAGAUAGAUUCUUAAGGUGAAGGACAAUCCUCAAGCCGAGCUGCAGUUGAACACUGAUUGAUGGUCAGCUACCAAAUAAAUCAAUAAAUGAUCAUCAAGCAGAUGCUGUCAACAGUGGAAUCCCAUGCAAGAAGGUUAUGUCUGUUUCCUAAACAUUUGACUUAUGCAUGACGUUUUUCUUUUAAACGACCUCUUAUCAAAACCUUCAUGGGGUUCUUUGAACUGUGAUAUUCUUUUACUUAAUUCAAAUAAAAGCAAAACCAAACACA